rnacentral:tRNA from 1 species
GGUGGCUCAGGGGUAGAGCGCUUGCCUUGCAUGCAUGAAGCCCUGGGUUCGAUUCCUCAGUACCA